UAGGGAAUCUUCCGCAAUGGACGCAAGUCUGACGGAGCAACGCCGCGUGAGUGAAGAAGGAUUUCGGUUCGUAAAACUCUGUUGUUAGAGAAGAACAGCGCAUAGAGUAACUGUUAUGCGUGUGACGGUAUCUAACCAGAAAGCCACGGCUAACUACGUGCCAGCAGCCGCGGUAAUACGUAGGUGGCAAGCGUUGUCCGGAUUUAUUGGGCGUAAAGCGAGCGCAGGCGGUCAAUUAAGUCUGAUGUGAAAGCCCCCGGCUCAACCGGGGAGGGUCAUUGGAAACUGGUUGACUUGAGUGCAGAAGAGGAGAGUGGAAUUCCAUGUGUAGCGGUGAAAUGCGUAGAUAUAUGGAGGAACACCAGAGGCGAAGGCGACUCUCUGGUCUGUAACUGACGCUGAGGCUCGAAAGCGUGGGUAGCAAACAGG
rnacentral:rRNA from 1 species